rnacentral:rRNA from 1 species
UACGAAGGGGGCUAGCGUUGCUCGGAAUUACUGGGCGUAAAGCGCACGUAGGCGGCUUUCUAAGUCGGGGGUGAAAUCCUGGAGCUCAACUCCAGAACUGCCUUCGAUACUGGAGAGCUUGAGUCCGGGAGAGGUGAGUGGAACUGCGAGUGUAGAGGUGAAAUUCGUAGAUAUUCGCAAGAACACCAGUGGCGAAGGCGGCUCACUGGCCCGGUACUGACGCUGAGGCUCGAAAGCGUGGGGAGCAAACAGG